ensembl:ncRNA T21B6.12 ncRNA
GUGGAUUAGCCCGAUGUUUGGGGUAGAUGGCUUGUCGGAGAAAAGUGGACCUUAUUGGAGGGGGAAGCGGAGAGCAUAAUGUUGUUUAGGUUGCGGAUGAGCACCCGGAAAGCAUGUUCGGUGUGGUUCAGUG